UGAGGAAUAUUGGUCAAUGGGGGCAACCCUGAACCAGCCAAGUCGCGUGAAGGAUGAAGGUCUUAUGGAUUGUAAACUUCUUUUACACGGGAAUAAAGCGGGGGACGUGUCCCCCUUUGCAUGUACCGUGUGAAUAAGGAUCGGCUAACUCCGUGCCAGCAGCCGCGGUAAUACGGAGGAUCCGAGCGUUAUCCGGAUUUAUUGGGUUUAAAGGGUGCGCAGGCGGGAUGUUAAGUCGGCGGUGAAAUUUUGCAGCUCAACUGUAAAAGUGCCUUCGAUACUGGCUUCCUUGAGUGUGGAUGAAGUAGGCGGAAUUUGUGGUGUAGCGGUGAAAUGCUUAGAUAUCACGAGGAACUCCGAUUGCGCAGGCAGCUUACUAAGCCACAACUGACGCUCAUGCACGAAGGCGUGGGGAUCAAACA
rnacentral:rRNA from 1 species